UACAGAGGGUGCGAGCGUUGUUCGGAAUCAUUGGGCGUAAAGCGCUUGUAGGCGGCCUGCCAAGUCGCGUGUGAAAUCCCCUGGCUCAACCAGGGAAGUGCGCGCGAAACUGGCGGGCUUGGAGUGCCGGAGAGGGUCGCGGAAUUCCCGGUGUAGUGGUGAAAUGCGUAGAUAUCGGGAGGAACACCAGUGGCGAAGGCGACUACCUGGCCUGUUCUUGACGCUGAGGCGCGAAAGCUAGGGGAGCAAACGGG
rnacentral:rRNA from 1 species